UGCCUUUUUUCCACUGAGCCCCUCCGUCUGGAGCGGUCUUUGACUCAAUCGCGGAAGAAUGUGCACUAUAACAAGCGAGGGGCUGCCUGUGUGUUUAAUCGGAGGUGCCGAGUACGGGGUGGGGUAAUGGUGCGGCUGUGCUGAACGUGUCCGGACUGUGUGUUGUAUCCGUGGGCCCACUGCUGGCUGUAUGAACACCACAGGGUUGUGUGUGUGGUGUGUGGAGGGGAUAUUGUGGGACUGUGUGCCCACUGCGGGGGUACAUGUCUGUGUGUGGGCAUGUGGAUGUGUGAUUGUAUAAUCCUGGAGGCAGUGAUUAAGAGUGUGGUGAUCGUGCCCGCUGUGGAGUGUGUGUGCAUGUAGUUGACUGUGACUGUGACUGUGUUUGUGGGGUGUGUGCAUGGUCCUGUGUGUGUAUGCCUGAGUGACUGGGGGUUGAUGUGUGUGAGUGGGGAGGGUGCUCAGAAGCCGAUGUGUGACGUGUCCUCUGUGGGCAACUGGGGGGAAGCCAUUCUGCUGAGUUUCCGCGUGUCAAGAGCUCCAGCAAGCGAUCUAGAGGGGCAAGGAGGCUGGUGAGGGAUGCCAAGCAGGGCUCUCCGGCACACUGCUUCAAGGGAGCCAGGGGACAAAUCCAAGCUGUGGCGGCGGCGGGCCUAAAACCUGCCUCUGCACUAACUCACCGUGUGACCUCAGGAAAGUCACUCUGCCUCAGAGAUGGUUUUCCUCUCUGUCGAAUCAGAUAGCACUGUUUACCUCAGGUUUGCCGUGAGGAUGAACUGAGAACACAGAGCAUUUAGUCGAGUACCUGAUGCACUAGGAGACUGGCCCUGAGCUCACAUCCAUGCCCAUCUUCCUCUACUUUAUAUGUGGGAUGUCUGCCACAGCACGGCUUGCCAAGCAGUGCCACGUCCACACCCGGGAUCCGAACUGAUGAUCCCCGGCCACUGAAGAGGAACGUGCACAUGUGACCACUGUGCCACCAGGCUGGCCCCUAACAAUUGUUUUGAAAACUCCCUUUUCUCCCUCUUACUCUCCCUGAAUCUGCAACUGGGGACUGACUUACUGCGGUGUGUCCCUUCAUUCAUUCAUUCACUUCAAUAUUUAUGAAGCCAAACAGUGUGCUAGAUCCUAGGAAUACAGAGACUAGGAAGUCAUUAAAGCAAAACAGUAUCUGUUUCUUUGUUGUUGUAUCCCUGGCCCCUAGGUUUUCAAUAAAUAGUGACUGAAUGAGUAAAUAGAUGUUAUUUUCUUGAGCAACUACUACAUGCCAGGUGCUAAGCUCAGCAUUGUAGCUGCAUUGUUGUAAUGAAUCCUCAGAAUCACAGCCCUAUCACACAAGGCCUGUAUCCUCCAAUUCAGUAUCCUGUCUCCACCAGUGACUGAAUUAUUUUUUAUCUUCAUCGUCGUCAUUAUGCCUGACCUCCAGAGGCUUAUCUUUUUUUUUUUUUUCUUGAGGACGAUUAGCCCGGAGC
rnacentral:lncRNA from 1 species